rnacentral:rRNA from 1 species
AUACGUAGGUGACAAGCGUUAUCCGGAUUUACUGGGCGUAAAGGGCGUGUAGGCGGUCUUGCAAGUCAGAUGUGAAAUGCCGGGGCCCAACCCCGGAGCUGCAUUUGAAACUGUGGUUCUUGAGUGAGGUAGAGGUAAGCGGAAUUCCUAGUGUAGCGGUGAAAUGCGUAGAUAUUAGGAGGAACAUCGGUGGCGAAGGCGGCUUACUGGGCCUUUACUGACGCUGAGGCACGAAAGCGUGGGGAGCAAACAGGAUUAGAUACCCUGGUAGUCCACGCUGUAAACGAUGAUGACUAGGUGUGGGGGGACUGAACCCUUCCGUGCCGCAGUUAACACAAUAAGUCAUCCACCUGGGGAGUACGGCCGCAAGGUUGAAACUCAAAUGAAUUGGCGGGG